UACGUAGGGUGCGAGCGUUGUCCGGAAUUAUUGGGCGUAAAGGGUGCGUAGGCGGCGCGGUAAGUCGGGUGUGAAAUCUCGGAGCUUAACUCCGAAACUGCAUUCGAUACUGCCGUGCUUGAGGACUGGAGAGGAGACUGGAAUUUACGGUGUAGCGGUGAAAUGCGUAGAUAUCGUAAGGAAGACCAGUGGCGAAGGCGGCUCACUGGACCGGAACUGACGCUGAUGCGCGAAAGCGUGGGGAGCAAACGGG
rnacentral:rRNA from 1 species